rnacentral:piRNA from 1 species
AACCAGCCUGGCAGUAUGAUGACGUAGA